rnacentral:miRNA from 1 species
AUUUCAGAGGAGGGUGCUCGGCCGGGGAUUAUCAAUCUGUGGUAAAGUAGUAUCCCCUCGUAUCCUCCUCACAG